CCUACGGGAGGCAGCAGUGGGGAAUAUUGGGCAAUGGGCGCAAGCCUGACCCAGCAACGCCGCGUGAAGGAAGAAGGCUUUCGGGUUGUAAACUUCUUUUCUCAGGGACGAAGAAAGUUACGGUACCUGAGUAAUAAGCCACGGCUAACUACGUGCCAGCCGCCGCUGUAAUACGUAGGUGGCAAGCGUUAUCCGGAGUUAUUGGGUGUAAAGGGCGUGUAGGCGGGAGCGCAAGUCAGAUGUGAAAACUCAGGGCUCAACCCUGGGCCUGCAUUUGAUACUGUGUUUCUUGAGUGCUGGAGAGGCAAUCGGAAUUCCGUGUGUAGCGGUGAAAUGCGUAGAUAUACGGAGGAACACCAGUGGCGAAGGCGGAUUGCUGGACAGUAACUGACGCUGAGGCGCGAAAGCGUGGGGAGCAAACAGGAUUAGAUACCCCAGUAGUC
rnacentral:rRNA from 1 species